UACGUAGGGGGCAAGCGUUGUCCGGAAUCAUUGGGCGUAAAGCGCGUGUAGGCGGCUCGAUAAGUCUGCUGUAAAAGUCCAAGGGCUCAACCCUGGAAAGCCGGUGGAAACUGUCGAGCUAGAGUCCGGAAGAGGCGAGUGGAAUUCCUGGUGUAGCGGUGAAAUGCGCAGAUAUCAGGAGGAACACCAAUGGCGAAGGCAGCUCGCUGAGACGGUACUGACGCUGAGACGCGAAAGCGUGGGGAGCAAACAGG
rnacentral:rRNA from 1 species